rnacentral:ncRNA from 1 species
AACCCUUCCUGAAAAGAUGUAGCCGCAUCAUCAGUAACGAGUCUUGGGCUAUAUUUAGCAAUAAAUACAGUUAAGCGUAGACAGCUAGGUAUUAGAGUUAGUAUUGAGCCACGAAAUAUGCUCUUAAACUUUAGGGCAGAUGCUGUUAAUAAAGCAGAAUGCAAAACGGAAAAAAACGAAAUGGCUAGAUUAUUUCUGCCUAUACGGGGUCAAAGACC